rnacentral:lncRNA from 1 species
GGAAGCUUGCUCAUCAUACAUGCUGGUAUCUAGGGGAUUCACAGAGGAAUUCUAAGAAUGAGAAUCUUGGCCUUUCUCAACUUGUAAGUAGAACAUGGACUAGUUUGCCAUGGAUACAAACUUGAAAGUGACUGUAACAAGCAAAGAAGAUGAGGCGUGCAGUGGCACUGUGAUGGAAAGCUGA